rnacentral:rRNA from 1 species
AGUGAACGCUGGCGGUAGGCCUAACACAUGCAAGUCGAACGGCAGCACAGAGGAGCUUGCUCCUUGGGUGGCGAGUGGCGGACGGGUGAGGAAUACAUCGGAAUCUACUCUGUCGUGGGGGAUAACGUAGGGGAACUUACGCUAAUACCGCAUACGACCUACGGGUGAAAGCAGGGGACCUUCGGGCCUUGCGCGAUUGAAUGAGCCGAUGUCGGAUUAGCUAGUUGGCGGGGUAAAGGCCCACCAAGGCGACGAUCCGUAGCUGGUCUGAGGGGCUGAUCAGCCACACUGGAACUGAGACACGGUCCAGACUCCUACGGGAGGCAGCAGUGGGGAAUAUUGGACAAUGGGCGCAAGCCUGAUCCAGCCAUACCGCGUGGGUGAAGAAGGCCUUCGGGUUGUAAAGCCCUUUUGUUGGGAAAGAAAUCCAGCUGGCUAAUACCCGGUUGGGAUGACGGUACCCAAAGAAUAAGCACCGGCUAACUUCGUGCCAGCCGCCGCCGUAA